GCCAUUGUGGAAGCGUAGGCUGACUUCUCAGCAGCUCUACAUCCAUCACAAAUAGCUGAUGCUCUCCAAAGGCCUCUAGAAGCCUGCACAGCAUCCUCCUUGCCUUUCUCUGUGUCUUUCCAGCUUUCUCAGAAGAACUGAAAGACUUCCAGAGGUUCUGGAAGUCAGAUUUCUGUUCCAAUAGUAGACAAAGGAUGGCUUCUUCAUCCCAUCCAAAUGCUACAGGAAUAUACACAUGUGGGAAUCCCUACCAGCAUGACCAAGAGCUCAUCAGGGUGAGAGAUUUGUGUUGGUUUUCCGGAAAAUGGGAAGAGGAUUCUACUGAGCUGAUGCCUGAACCAGAUCAAAGAAGUCACAACCUAGAAGUGCCCCAGGAGAGAUCAGCAUAUUCAGAACGAUGCUGUCUACAGUACCUUCACACAUAGUCUCAAUAUAUUGUGAAGUCUUACAGAGGAAGACCUAAGGGAAGGGGAAGG
rnacentral:lncRNA from 1 species